UCUACGGGAGACAGCAGUGAGGAAUAUUGGUCAAUGGGCGGAAGCCUGAACCAGCCAAGUAGCGUGCAGGAUGACGGCCCUACGGGUUGUAAACUGCUUUUAUACGGGAAUAACGCGCCUUACGUGUAGGGCUUUGCAUGUACCGUAUGAAUAAGGACCGGCUAAUUCCGUGCCAACAGCCGCGGUAAUACGGAAGGUCCGGGCGUUAUCCGGAUUUAUUGGGUUUAAAGGGAGCGUAGGCCGCAUGUCAAGCGUGCUGUGAAAUGUCCGGGCUCAACCCGGGCCUUGCAGCGCGAACUGGCGUGCUUGAGUCCGCGGAAAGCAGGCGGAAUUCGUCGUGUAGCGGUGAAAUGCUUAGAUAUGAGGAAGAACCCCGAUUGCGAAGGCAGCUUGCUGCAGCGGAACUGACGCUGAUGCUCGAAAGCGCGGGUAUCGAACAGGAUUAGAUACCCGGGUAGUC
rnacentral:rRNA from 1 species